AUGUUUGGUGUGGACUCUGGGUGGAUUUUGGUUCUGAGGCGUCAUCUCAUCUCAGCUGCCAGAACAGCAGUUUGGGAUUCCAACAUGGACGGCAUCGAUGACAGCUACAUCUGGCUGCGCCGCAUCGCCCACGGGAUCCGCUAUCAGAGAGGUGCGGUCCCGUUCCCAGAGUGUGUUCGGGUCGGCCUGGACUUCAACGCUGCGGUGGAGAGGGAGGAGAAGCUGGACCGCAGCCUGCUGACUAACGGUGUCAUGCUGGAGAUCUGUGAAUUCGCCAAAACCGUGACCAAGUCUGAGAAGUACUUCCUGUUUGAAAUGCUGGAGUUCAACUUCGACCUCGGCGUGGACACGGACAACGACCGGCUGUGCUAUGCGUACCUGUCACGUGUCCAUGGCAGAAUCAGGCAACUCAAGGAACUGAUCAAGAGCAAACCUGGGAGGUGGAAGGAGGUGUUUGCUCUGCCGGAUCUACAGGUUCUGUCCGCAGACUCCGAGGUGUCCACUGGCAGCUACCCCAAGUGGAAAAGAAUGGUGGACUCCUCGCUGCUCACAGGUGGCGGCGGCGGCGGCCAGUCCUUGGGGAGCAGCAGCAGCACGUGCAUGUCGAGGAAUCGAACCAAGCGAGCCGGCAGCGCCUUCCGCUUCUGUGCAGAGCUCGGCGUCCGUCUGGCCGUCGGACCAAAUCAGACGACCAGACAGAAACUGGACCGGAACCUGCUGACCAGCGGCGUGAUGCUGGAGCUGCUGCACUUCUGCAGAGUGCUGUGCGGAACGCAGGUGCACAUGGUGUACGAGCUGGUGCGGCAGAACUUUGGCUUCGAGCUCGAUAAGGUGCAGUUCAGGCUGAAUUUAAACCGGCUGACGGAGAGAAGACAGCUGACAGGCGCGGACAGGGACGCCUUCCGGAGGGAGCCGUUCCAACACCACACCGCUACCAAAACCAGGAAGAGAAGACCACCUGACACGGAGCAGGAGGCGGCGGACGGUCAGCAAUGGGGAGCACUGAGGGAGAGACUGCAGGACGGGGAUCUGUCCUACACCUGUCCCAUCGACUGUGAGACAGAGGACAGACCCAGCAAUCCAGGGACGCCUGGAAAAAAAAUGUCCCGCCGCAUAAAGCAGGAAGAGGAGGGAGUCUCUGUCUCACCGCAGAUUCACAGACACAACCCGUGUUCGCCUGCAGCCCAACCAAACCACGCCAGUCCAGAAAGAUCCUGCAGACAGAAGCUGUGGCAGCGCCGCGCCGCACAGAGCGUCCUGACAGCGGACGGCAACGGCACGUUCGCCUGCUGCCGGCGCAUCGGUCUGGACUUCAACGUCUCCUCAGGCGGCAAACGGAAGCUGGACCUGCGCCUGCUCACCAACGGGGUGCUGCAGGAGGUCUACAGGUUCGCCAACGCUAUGAGCCGGAGCACACGCAGCUUCCUGUUUGACAUCCUGCGCAACAACUUCCACCUCUCGCUCCAGGACGUGCAGCAGGAGCGAGACUUCAUCUUCUGCAUCUUAAUAAAAGAGAAGUUUCUGCAGAGCAGUCCGGACCGGCACAGCCCCACGUUUCUCAGCACGCCGUUCCAGAUCUCAGAAACAUACAUUCCCAUCAGACAGGAAGUGGGGCCUCAGGAUGACACCUCGGCUGAGAGCCGGCAGGCAGACCUGGGGACGCACCCGUACUGCCGGAAGUUAGGUCUCGAUCUGUGGUCGACCGAAGAGCGGCCUGCGGGCCAGAAGCUGGACCUGACGGCUCUGACAGUGGGCUCCAUGCUGGAGAUGGUGGCCUUCGUCAGAGAGCUGUGUGGGACGGCCUACAGCAUCGUCAGCGACGUCCUCGAACACAACUUCGAGCUGGACCUGCAGUGCGGCAAGACGGAGGCAGCGCAGGUGAUCCGACAGUGGUACGCGACCAACAAAACACACCAGCCCAAACGGACGAGCGGCUGGUUGGACGCGCUCGUCCCUCUGAACGGCCACGCCCAGCCGAGUCCCCCGGGCGGCGGCCAUGACAGGAAGCCAGGCAGAAAAACAGAAGCCGUCACAUGCACGCUGGAGGACCCACUCAGCAGCUACCCGCUCUGCCGGCAGGUUGGACUGAACCUGAACAUCCACAGAGGAGCAGGCCCCAAACAGAAGCUGGACCUCAGGGUGCUGACGAGGGCCAUGCUGGUGGAGGUGCACCGCUACGUCCAGCGCAGCUCUAUGCACUACGUGCCGGCGCUCUACGCCGUCCUGGAGCACAACUUUGACCUGAGCUCCCAGAGCCAUCGCAAGGUGGAGUUCGCCUGGGCCGUGGCCUCGCAGGUCAUCGCCAUGGCAGCCAAAAGCGGCAGGACGGCAGCCUAUCAGAACACGGUGUUCGAGCUGCCCUUCGAGGGGACGGGCGCCGCCUGCAAGGAGGAGCCGGAGGACGGCGACAGCGAGCCGGAUGGCGGCAGCGACAUCGUGUUCGUCCGAACGCUGAAGCCCGUGGACAUCCUGGUCGAGGUGGAUUAG
rnacentral:lncRNA from 1 species